CUUCAGAAUGUGAUGGUUUGGAGAUAGGGCC
rnacentral:piRNA from 1 species